CAUCAGGUUCCCCUCCCCUUCUCCCGUGUCGUCCCCCCCGCGGGCGACCCGGGAGGGCGCCCCCGCCACCUAGGGUUUCCCUGCCCCGCCGCCGACGGGCGCCACCGGGCAAGCCCUUGUGGCCUUGGCGGCCUUGGCGGCGGCGGGGCUACUUGUCUCCUGUUCUGCGGGGUGGGGGUGCGGGGCUCCAUCUCCUUGACAGCGUCGUAGGGCAGUACGUCGCUCCCGUGCCCGGUGCCUUCCGCCGACGCCCUACUGGCUCGACGGCAUGACAUCCAUCUUGGGGUGGCUCUGUGUUGGCAUUCCUGGCAGGGGCGCUGCCUCCUGGUGGCGGAUCUAGGAGCUCCUAGAUUGGAUUGAGGAUGGAGGCUAAGGACUUAGGAGUGGCCGCCGGCCCUACGGGGUGGCGGUGGUGUUGCAUCUAGUGGCCAUGCUUCGCUGGUGAGGUGUGGCUGGGUGACUUCUGCAUCUGACCAGGACGUGGAGGCGCGAGGUGCUGUGGUGGUGGCUGGAGCACCAGCGCUGCUGAGCUGCCGGGGAUGGCCGAGAUCCGGUGCACAACAUGCUGGAUAAAGGUUCAUCGAGCAGAUCCAGGAGCUAAAAUAUGGUGAAUAGGUAAUAUCUUUUACUACUACAUCAGUACUCACUGUUACCGCGAUAAAUAAACUAGUAAAUGCAUCAAUACCUGGAAUAAAUGGAAAUUUAGGGACAAAAGGACGUAGCAGUCCCUUCUGUAUCCGACAAUCGGCUGGAUUGAUGCUUGCUGCUUCAACUUUUAUAAGAACUUCACCUUUUUUCAGUGAUGGAA